GCGGGGUGGGCCCCGGGAGCCCGGGGGCCCUGGGAGCUGGGGGAACCUGGGAGUGCAGAUGGGCCAGGGAGUGCGGGUGGGCCCAGGAUCCAGGGGGGCCGCACAGACUCCCGGGCCUCCAGAGGAGCCGGCCUGCUCACCUGUGUUUAGACUUCUGACCAAGUUUAAGGGUAAACCCACGAAACGUGUAGAAACGUGUUACAGGGGCCCAGAGACGCUUCCCCCAGGAUCAGGCCUCCUGCCACGAGCACCUCUCUGCCUAGCUCAGCAGCACCAGGACAGUGGCACUCGGUGGUGAGAGGUGGCAUUGGAGGUCAGACAGGAAGCAGGCUCACAGCCCCUCCUUCCCUCUCCUUGCCAUCCUGACAGCAGUGAGCCCGGUGAGAAGACCUGCAGGUGCACUUACUAACGUGCAGGUGAAUCAGCCAGGGCACCACCACCCAGGUGUGCUUCACCACCCAGAGGGGAACGUCUAACCCUCCCAUCAUUGAGCCGUCAUCCCAGCUACUCUGCCAUGCACAGGGCUGGCGUCAUGCUGUGGGGUUUGCUCCUUCCCCUCCUCGCUCUCUGGGGCCUGAGGACAGGCUCUGCCAGGCCCAUCAGUUCCCUUCCCUGCCCCGGGCACAUCCUCUCCUCGUGCCAGGAGCUGGGUCCCAGGUGAGAAAGUAACCAGUGGCUUCCAAACCAGCAGCUCCAGCAGCAUGACGGAGGCACCCCGCUCCCCUCCCGAGACCACCAGGCUCUGUGCCCUCGGAUUAGUCAUGACUGCUCCCCCUCGGGGCCCACGCCCAUCUGGGGGUGGCUUCUUUCCAUCCAGUCUGCCCAGUUCUGCCAGGCCAAGGGCUGGCCCUUGUUCUCUGGCUUCAGAGCCGACUGGACAGCGAUGCACCAGGACAGGGAGUGGCCCACGACCUCAGAAGCCUUUCCUACCACGAUGGGCCUCCUGCUGCCCGAGACUGGAAUUUGCCCGAUACUGGCGUGGGGCAGCAGCAGGGACAGAGGGAGGGCUGUGGCUGGAGCCUUGUUCACCACCACCAGCUGGAACUGGGCCCCCCCGUGCUCAUGAGCCAGGAAUCAGGGAGCGAUGCAGUCUCCUGCUCAGGACUCAGCUCUGCUUGGCUUGGUGGGAAAGCUUUUAAAGUGUUUCCUCUGCCGGAAUUGAGAAUAAAAUUCUAAGAACUUUCAUGAACAUAAA